rnacentral:sRNA from 1 species
UAUACUCAGCUGUUGCCCCCAGUAUCCAGAACCCUAUAUCCACUGCCCCCUUUCGCGGCAUUCCAUUGCCAAUUCUUCAAAGUCCAGCCCUUUCCUGUCUUCACCAUUUCUAUUCAUACAUCCCAUUUGUUCUGACAACUCUGGUGGGCUUUACCUCCCGAGCUCAUCGCAUUUUCAAUCGACAGUUUGCAGCGUUUUCGAUCCAUCCCAUCUGACCUCACACUACAAUACCAUCGAUCUCAUACCACCAUGGAGAAGCCAACGGUAUUUAUCUCAUUCUUUCAGUUGCUGCGGUUGAGUACCAUUGAGGGAUCUAUGUGGCCGAGAAUGCAACUAAAGGGAUCAUCCACCAUGCCAAUAACGCGCAAGGUGGUUGGCCAUACGAGCGCAAGCACACUCAAACCCUUGUCCUCUCAAAAAUGUUAGCAUUGGCCUUGAAAAUUGGAACCAUCCCCCUACCAUAAGGGAAUACCCAAAUCGACCGUAUCCUAGGCAAUCCGAAUAUGAUCUCACAGGAUCCCGGGUUUAGCGUGCCACGGCUCCACACUAUGGGCCAG